rnacentral:rRNA from 2 species
UCUGAUGGAGCACGCCGCGUGAGUGAUGAAGGUUUUCGGAUCGUAAAACUCUGUUGUUAAAGAAGAACAAGUGUUAGAGUAACUGUUAACACUUUGACGGUAUUUAACCAGAAAGCCACGGCUAACUACGUGCCAGCAGCCGCGGUAAUACGUAGGUGGCAAGCGUUGUCCGGAUUUAUUGGGCGUAAAGCGAGCGCAGGCGGUUUUGUAAGUCUGCUGUGAAAGCCCUCAGCUCAACUGAGGAAGUGCAGUGGAAACUACAAAACUUGAGUACAGAAGAGGAAAGUGGAACUCCAUGUGUAGCGGUGAAAUGCGUAGAUAUAUGGAAGAACACCAGUGGCGAAGGCGGCUUUCUGGUCUGUUACUGACGCUGAGGCUCGAAAGCAUGGGUAGCGAACAGGAUUAGAUACCCUGGUAGUCCAUGCCGUAAACGAUGAAUACUAGGUGUUGGAGGGUUUCCGCCCUUCAGUGCCGCAGCUAACGCAUUAAGUAUUCCGCCUGGGGAGUACGACCGCAAGGUUGAAACUCAAAGGAAUUGACGGGGGCCCGCACAAGUGGUGGAGCAUGUGGUUUAAUUCGAUGCUACGCGAAGAACCUUACCAGCUCUUGACAUCUUCUGCCAACCCAAGAGAUUGGGCGUUCCCUUCGGGGACAGAAUGACAGGUGGUGCAUGGUUGUCGUCAGCUCGUGUCGUGAGAUGUUGGGUUAAGUCCCGCAACGAGCGCAACCCUUAUUAUUAGUUGCCAGCAUUUAGUUGGGCACUCUAGUGAGACUGCCGGUGAUAAACCGGAGGAAGGUGGGGACGACGUCAAAUCAUCAUGCCCCUUAUGAGCUGGGCUACACACGUGCUACAAUGGAUGGUACAACGAGUCGCGAAACCGCGAGGUCAAGCUAAUCUCUUAAAGCCAUUCUCAGUUCGGAUUGCAGGCUGCAACUCGCCUGC